UGCAAGUCGAGCGAACAGAUAAGGAGCUUGCUCCUUUGACGUUAGCGGCGGACGGGUGAGUAACACGUGGGUAACCUACCUAUAAGACUGGGAUAACUUCGGGAAACCGGAGCUAAUACCGGAUAACAUUUGGAACCGCAUGGUUCUAAAGUGAAAGAUGGUUUUGCUAUCACUUAUAGAUGGACCCGCGCCGUAUUAGCUAGUUGGUAAGGUAACGGCUUACCAAGGCAACGAUACGUAGCCGACCUGAGAGGGUGAUCGGCCACACUGGAACUGAGACACGGUCCAGACUCCUACGGGAGGCAGCAGUAGGGAAUCUUCCGCAAUGGGCGAAAGCCUGACGGAGCAACGCCGCGUGAGUGAUGAAGGGUUUCGGCUCGUAAAACUCUGUUAUUAGGGAAGAACAAAUGUGUAAGUAACUGUGCACGUCUUGACGGUACCUAAUCAGAAAGCCACGGCUAACUACGUGCCAGCAGCCGCGGUAAUACGUAGGUGGCAAGCGUUAUCCGGAAUUAUUGGGCGUAAAGCGCGCGUAGGCGGUUUCUUAAGUCUGAUGUGAAAGCCCACGGCUCAACCGUGGAGGGUCAUUGGAAACUGGGAAACUUGAGUGCAGAAGAGGAAAGUGGAAUUCCAUGUGUAGCGGUGAAAUGCGCAGAGAUAUGGAGGAACACCAGUGGCGAAGGCGACUUUCUGGUCUGUAACUGACGCUGAUGUGCGAAAGCGUGGGGAUCAAACAGGAUUAGAUACCCUGGUAGUCCACGCCGUAAACGAUGAGUGCUAAGUGUUAGGGGGUUUCCGCCCCUUAGUGCUGCAGCUAACGCAUUAAGCACUCCGCCUGGGGAGUACGACCGCAAGGUUGAAACUCAAAGGAAUUGACGGGGACCCGCACAAGCGGUGGAGCAUGUGGUUUAAUUCGAAGCAACGCGAAGAACCUUACCAAAUCUUGACAUCCUUUGAAAACUCUAGAGAUAGAGCCUUCCCCUUCGGGGGACAAAGUGACAGGUGGUGCAUGGUUGUCGUCAGCUCGUGUCGUGAGAUGUUGGGUUAAGUCCCGCAACGAGCGCAACCCUUAAGCUUAGUUGCCAUCAUUAAGUUGGGCACUCUAGGUUGACUGCCGGUGACAAACCGGAGGAAGGUGGGGAUGACGUCAAAUCAUCAUGCCCCUUAUGAUUUGGGCUACACACGUGCUACAAUGGACAAUACAAAGGGCAGCUAAACCGCGAGGUCAUGCAAAUCCCAUAAAGUUGUUCUCAGUUCGGAUUGUAGUCUGCAACUCGACUACAUGAAGCUGGAAUCGCUAGUAAUCGUAGAUCAGCAUGCUACGGUGAAUACGUUCCCGGGUCUUGUACACACCGCCCGUCACACCACGAGAGUUUGUAACACCCGAAGCCGGUGGAGUAACCAUUUAUGGAGCUAGCCGUCGAAG
rnacentral:rRNA from 1 species